AUGAUGUCAUCACCCCUGAACACAACUCUGAUAUUAAAGUGGACACACCAGAGCAUUAUGAUGAUGUCAUCAUUAAUGGACAGGACUCUCAAGGUGUAACAGAGGCAGAUCAGGAGGAGUAUGAUGAUGUGAAGAACAGCAAUGAAGAUGAGAGAAACUUGUUGGACUAUGAUGAUGUGGGGGGAGGAGUCACACAAUGAGGGUGGGGCUGUAUGUAGUGGCCACACCCACUGCUUCAGGUCAUGAAAUUACAAUUUAACAACUUGGGACUGAGUUUAAAUGAUCUUACAUAGC